GACGAACGCUGGCGGCGUGCUUAACACAUGCAAGUCGAACGGAAAGUCCCUGCUUUUGUGGGGUGCUCGAGUGGCGAACGGGUGAGUAACACGUGAGUAACCUGCACUUGACUUUGGGAUAACUUCAGGAAACUGGGGCUAAUACCGGCAAGGAGCUCCUGCUGCAUGGUGGGGGUUGGAUAGUUUCGGCGGUUGGGGGUGGACUAGCGGCUUAUCAGCUUGUUGGUGGGGUAGUGACUUACCAAGGCUUUGACGGGUAGCCGGCCGGAGUGGGUGAACGACCACACAGAGACGGACUGACAGCCCAGACACCCUCGUGAGGGAGCAGGCGGUAAGAAUGCACAAUGGGCGGAAGCCUGCUUCAGCAACGCCGCGUGCGGGAGGACUGCCGGCGUGUUGGAAGCCGCUUUCGCUUGCGACGGAGCGUAAUUAACGUUAAUGGAGAAAGAAGCACCGCCUAACUACUG
rnacentral:rRNA from 1 species